GGACGGAGUAGGCUCAUUGAUGUCAUGACGUCUCCACCUGUCGGAUCGGGGCGAGGAGGGGCUGGGACGCGAGGUGAGUCCGCCGCGGCAUGCGGCAGGACCUCCUGCAGUGUAGCGCGAUUCAAAAUCAGGGCCAAUCCGCGGGCUUGAU
rnacentral:misc_RNA from 1 species